rnacentral:tRNA from 1 species
CUGGCGUAGCUCAGUUGGUAGAGCAGCUGACUUGUAAUCAGCAGGUCGGGGGUUCAAGUCCCUUCGCCAGCUC